rnacentral:siRNA from 1 species
UAGAAAUUUUGUUUCGGGUCAU